rnacentral:rRNA from 1 species
UUAACACAUGCAAGGUCGAACGGAAAGGCUCCAGCUUGCUGGAGUACUCGAGUGGCGAACGGGUGAGUAACACGUGGGCAAUCUGCCCUGCACUCUGGGAUAAGCCUGGGAAACUGGGUCUAAUACUGGAUAGGACCUUUCUCCUCAUGGGGUUUGGUGGAAAGUUUUUCGGUGCAGGAUGAGCCCGCGGCCUAUCAGCUUGUUGGUGGGGUAAUGGCCUACCAAGGCGACGACGGGUAGCCGGCCUGAGAGGGUGAUCGGCCACAUUGGGACUGAGAUACGGCCCAGACUCCUACGGGAGGCAGCAGUGGGGAAUAUUGCACAAUGGGCGGAAGCCUGAUGCAGCGACGCCGCGUGAGGGAUGACGGCCUUCGGGUUGUAAACCUCUUUCAGUAGGGACGAAGCGUAAGUGACGGUACCUGCAGAAGAAGCACCGGCUAACUACGUGCCAGCAGCCGCGGUAAUACGUAGGGUGCGAGCGUUGUCCGGAAUUACUGGGCGUAAAGAGCUCGUAGGCGGUUUGUCACGUCGUCUGUGAAAUCCUAGGGCUUAACCCUGGACGUGCAGGCGAUACGGGCUGACUUGAGUACUACAGGGGAGACUGGAAUUUCUGGUGUAGCGGUGGAAUGCACAGAUAUCAGGAAGAACACCGAUGGCGAAGGCAGGUCUCUGGGUAGUAACUGACGCUGAGGAGCGAAAGCAUGGGUAGCGA